rnacentral:lncRNA from 1 species
UUGAGCUCCGAUAUUUAUUAUACCAAAAAGGCAGGUCGGGGACAGGCGAGCGUUCAUAAACCAGGUCAGAGUCCAAACAGUACCAGGCGAUAGGCAGGCUUGAGGUCAGGACAGGAAGGGGUUCAGUGAACAGGUCAGAGUCCAAACAGUACCAGGGGAUAGGCAGGCUUGAGGUCAGGACAGGAAGGGGUUCAGUGAACAGGUCAGAGUCCAAACAGUACCAGGGGAUAGGCAGGCUUGAGGUCAGGACAGGAAGGGGUUCAGUGAACAGGUCAGAGUCCAAACAGUACCAGGGGAUAGGCAGGCUCGAGGUCAGGACAGGAAGGGGUUCAGUGAACAGGUCAGAGUCCAAACAGUACCAGGGGAUAGGCAGGCUUGAGUCAGACAGAAGGGGUUCAGUGAAAAGAGUCCAAACAGUACCAGGGGAUAGGCAGGCUCGAGGUCAGGACAGGAAGGGGUUCAGUGAACAGGUCAGAGUCCAAACAGUACAAGGGGAUAGGCAGGCUCGAGGUCAGGACAGGCAGAGUGGUCAGGCAGGCGGAUACGGUGUCAGGACAGGCAAUGGUCAAAACCAGGAGGGCUAGGAAAAAACAGAGACUGGGAAAAAUAGGAGCUAGGAGAAACGCUGGUUGACUUGGCAAAACAAGACAAACUGGCACAGAGAGACAGGAAACACAGGGAUAAAAACGCCGGGGACUAAUGGGGAAAACAGGAGACACCUGGAGGUGGGUGGAGACAAUCACAAAGACAGGUGAAACAGAUCAGGGCAUGACAGUGUGAACAAUGUGUUUUCUGGGAAACACUUUUGAACUGUUGCCUCUUGCUUAUGCAUUCAUCAUAAAAUGGCGGUGCUUUCUACACCAGAAAAGUGUUACAGUUUUCUGUAUCACGGAGAUGGAAAUAACUCAUGACUACCGAUUCUUUCAGUCCUUCUACAACAGUGUAUACAAAUUAAUCUGUUCCAGUAUUUCACAAUAAAUCAAUACAAGCCUAUAAAUCAUACAGGGAAACUGCAGUUAUUACACAAGGUGAUACAUUUCAUUGACCCAUAAGUACCAUUCACAACACCACAUUUGGCAUUCACACAGCAUAUUAGGAGCUCUCAACUUUCCUUGGUGUCCGCCAAAUGGGAAUCUGUCUGAGAAAUCCUUAAAGUCAGUACACCUGCACUGCAGUGAUCAGGGGUGAGACAGCUCUUUAUUACCACCAGCUGCUGUGUCACCCCAUCCAAAUCAUGCCUUAAUGUUCAAAGCCACAAAGGCGUCUUCUGCCAGAAAGAGUAAAGCUUCAUAAAGCCAUGCAAAGUCUGUUAUUCUCUUUUCUGCUCACUGUGGACUAUAGGGACUAAGUCUUAUAGGGACUGGGCUUUCCAAAAUGGGACGGAAAGUGACUGACAUCAUCUGAAUGAGACUCAAUGCAUUUGAUGUAUCUAUAGGCUAACUGUAGUUUACCUAAAACACGCUUGGUGCAGGAGCAUAUACUGUAGCAUGAGAGACAUACCUGUGAGUUAAGUGGGAUGUGAUUGUUUUAGCCUCUCAUGUCAAUCUGUUAACAAGGGAUCAUGUACAGCUGACCAGAGAUGGUAACUGAUGGAGCUGUCAAGAGAUGAUCUUCAUGUACCUGGCCUGACAUACUGCCAACCUGAGAAAGACGGCAAGGGGAAAAGAUACUCUUGACACCUGACUUUAGAACGACCCGUCAUUCCUGCAGCUAGCUAUACUGAUUUUUACAGUCAAUAGGCAAACUGACAAUAUUUAGUCAGGAAGGUGUUGUGAUAUCAUUGGGUAAUAUAACAGUACAUUUACGUCUAGUUUACUUACUUACUGACUUUAUUGUCCCCAUGGGCAAAUUUUGUUGCAGUGUCAUGUACACAUUUAAAGUGGCGUUUAAAUAUAAAACUGACAAUACAACUUUCAUAACAGUUACAUACCAAUAAAAAUUAUAAUUAUAAUAAAUAAAGAAAUAAAACAUUUAAAAAAAAAGACU